CGUCUAGGCGGCCAUGCAAGUCCUGCGUGAAAGCUCCCGGCUCAACUGGGAGAGGGCGUGGGAAACUGCAUGGCUAGAGACUCGGAGAGGGGUGUGGAAUUCCCGGUGGAGUGGUGAAAUGCGUUGAGAUCGGGAGGAACACCAGUGGCGAAGGCGGCACCCUGGCCGAGGUCUGACGCUGAAGCGCGACAGCGUGGGGAGCGAACG
rnacentral:rRNA from 1 species